rnacentral:sRNA from 1 species
GCUGGGUGUGGUGGCACACAUCUGUAAUCCCAGCAGCUUGGGAGGCUGAGGCAGGAGGAUUGAAAGUUCAAAGCCAGCCUCAGCAAAAGUGAGGCACUAAGCAACUCAGUGAGACCCUGUCUCUAUAUAAAAUACAAAAUAGGACUGGGAUGUGGCUCAGUGGUUGAGUGCUUCAAUCUCUGGUACCUGCUUCCC